rnacentral:misc_RNA from 1 species
GAUGAAGAACGCAGUGAAAUGCGAUAAGUAAUGUGAAUUGCAGAAUUCAGUGAAUCAUCGAAUCUUUGAACGCACAUUGCGCCCCUUGGUAUUCCGAGGGGCAUGCCUGUUCGAGCGUCAUUAUAACCCCUCAAGCUCAGCUUGGUGUUGGGGCCUGCUGCACUGGCAGCCCUUAAAACCAGUGGCGGCGCCAUCUGGCUCUAAGCGUAGUAAUUCUUCUCGCUAUGGAGUCCUGGUGGAUGCUUGCCAUCAACCCCCAAUUUUUCUAUGGUUGACCUCGGAUCAGGUAGGGAUACCCGCUGAACUUAAGCAUAUCAAUAAGCGGAGGA